rnacentral:rRNA from 1 species
AAUGAACGUUGGCGGCAUGGAUUAGGCAUGCAAGUCGAGCGAGAAGGUUUCUGAAGCUUGCUUUAGAAGCCGGACAGCGGCGAAAGGGAGAGUAACGCGUAGUUAUGUACCCUAGGGUCCGGAAUAGCCACGGGAAACUGUGGGUAAUGCCGGAUAACAUCCCCGGAUCAAAGGUGUGAUUCCGCCCUAGGAGCAGACUGCGUCCUACUAGCUUGUUGGUGGGGUAAUGGCCUACCAAGGCAACGAUGGGUAGCGGGUGUGAGAGCAUGACCCGUCUCACUGGGACUGAGACACUGCCCAGACACCUACGGGUGGCUGCAGUCGAGAAUCUUCGGCAAUGGGCGAAAGCCUGACCGAGCGAUGCCGCGUGCGGGAUGAAGGCCCUCGGGUUGUAAACCGCUGUCGUAGGGGAGGAAGGUUCCGUGAAGAGCGGGACUUGACCUAUCCUAGGAGGAAGUACGGGCUAAGUUCGUGCCAGCCGCCGCGGUAAGAC